rnacentral:lncRNA from 1 species
GUGCAAAAACAAAACAGGCUAUUUUAAAUCACCCAUAUUGAAAAAAUGUAGAACAAUUAGACACCCUUAUAACCCACACCUACACACUCACGUAUCAAUCUGAUGGAUGGAUUGUGUUGUGCAGUAAGCAGGUUCAGGUGUAUAACUGUGGCUCCUUCCACCUUCAAAGAAUAGGCAAGAGGGCCAACCAUGGAGAAUAGUAAGACACUUCAUUAUUUCUAUAACUACGCUGUAUUGUUUGUCCUUGUUGGUCCGUUCAUGUUUUUCAGCAUAAAGUACUCUGCAGCCACUUAGUGUGGUGUGGACACCAGGUUAUAUCAGCUGUGUCGACGAACCCCUCCUGCAUCUGAACUGGCUACAUAGAGGGCACAGCAAGAUCAGAGGUGAGAAGUCACCUGGUCAGGUCAACAGGAAGUAUUAUUAAAGAGAUGCUUUACAUUGAAAUACAGAUAGAGAUGCAGUAGUCCCAGAGUUAAUGAUCCCAGG